UCAAAAUAGGCAUGGGCGUGUCAAACUAGGUGUGGUUGCGUAAAAAUAGGUGUGGUCAUGUCGAAAUAGGCGUGGUCGUGUCAAAAUAGGCGCAAACGCGUCAAAAUAGGAGUGGUCACGUCAAAAAAGGGGGGGAAUUUUGCUGUUGUUUCGAGAAAUUUUCGGAGAAGAAAAAUGGACAGAUUUGCUCAUCACUAAUCAUAAGCACA